rnacentral:rRNA from 1 species
AGCUCCAAUAGCGUAUAUUAAAGUUGCUGCAGUUAAAAAGCUCGUAGUUGGAUUUCUGAUGUGACAUGCCUGGUCCGCCGUGGUUACACGUGUGAGUACCGGGUGUUGUCCGUCUGUCUUCUUACUGUUGUUGCUGCCACUUCACUGUGCCAGUAAUAGCGAGUAAGAUCUUUUACUUUGAACAAAUUAGAGUGUUUCAAGCAGGCUUCUGCCAUGAAUACAUUAGCAUGGAAUAAUAAGUUAGGACUUCGGUUCUAUUUUGUUGGUUUCAAGAGCUGAAGUAAUGAUUGAUAGGGAUAGUUGGGGGUGCUAGUAUUCAGAGGCCAGAGGUGAAAUUCUUGGAUUCUCUGAAGACUAACUUAUGCGAAAGCAUUCACCAAGGAUGUCUUCU